rnacentral:rRNA from 1 species
GACGAACGCUGGCGGCGUGCCUAACACAUGCAAGUCGAACGGGGUAAAGAGCUUCGGUUUUUUACUUAGUGGCGAACGGGUGAGUAACGCGUGAGAGACCUGCCUCUCAGUGGGGGACAACAGUUGGAAACGACUGCUAAUACCGCAUAACAUAUUCGAAGGGCAUCCUUUGGAUAUCAAAGCUUUAUGUGCUGAGAGAUGGUCUCGCGUCUGAUUAGAUAGUUGGUGAGGUAACGGCUCACCAAGUCGACGAUCAGUAGCCGGUCUGAGAGGAUGAACGGCCACAUUGGGACCUGAGAUACGGCCCAG